UAUCAGUAAGCGGAGGAAAGAAACUAACCAGGAUUCCCUCAGUAACGGCGAGUGAAGCGGAAGAGCCCAGCACCGAAUCCCCCGGCCUCGCGCCGGCGGGAACUGUGGUGUUUGGGACGCCGACCGGCGUUCGGUCCCUGUGCCCAAGUCCUUCUGAUCGGGGCCUUUCCCAGAGUGGGUGUCAGGCCUUUGGCGGCACGGGACCGUGCGUCUUCGAGCGUCCUAGGAGUCGGGUUGUUUGGGAAUGCAGCCCCAAGUGGGUGGUAAACUCC
rnacentral:rRNA from 1 species